rnacentral:rRNA from 1 species
UACGGAGGGGGCUAGCGUUGUUCGGAGUUACUGGGCGUAAAGCGCACGUAGGCGGACCAGCAAGUUAGGGGUGAAAUCCCGGGGCUCAACCCCGGAACUGCCUUUAAAACUGUUGGUCUGGAGGUCGAGAGAGGUGAGUGGAAUUCCGAGUGUAGAGGUGAAAUUCGUAGAUAUUCGGAGGAACACCAGUGGCGAAGGCGGCUCACUGGCUCGAUACUGACGCUGAGGUGCGAAAGCGUGGGGAGCAAACAGG